rnacentral:tRNA from 1 species
GGCGGCUUCGCCGAGCCGGCCGCGCGGCCGCACGCUUGGAAAGCGUGUUGGCGGCAACCCCUCACGAGUUCGGAUCUCGUAUCCUCCG